rnacentral:rRNA from 1 species
AUUGAACGCUGGCGGCAUGCUUUACACAUGCAAGUCGAACGGCAGCGCGGGGGCAACCCUGGCGGCGAGUGGCGAACGGGUGAGUAAUGCAUCGGAACGUAUCCUGUAAUGGGGGAUAACGUAGCGAAAGUUACGCUAAUACCGCAUACGCUCGAGAGAGGAAAGUGGGGGAUCGCAAGACCUCACGUUAUAGGAGCGGCCGAUGUCCGAUUAGCUAGUUGGUGGGUAAAGGCCUACCAAGGCGACGAUCGGUAGCUGGUCUGAGAGGAUGAUCAGCCACACUGGGACUGAGACACGGCCCAGACUCCUACGGGAGGCAGCAGUGGGAAUUUGGACAAUGGGCGAAAGCCUGAUCCAGCCAUGCCGCGUGCGGG